AGUGAACGCUGGCGGUAGGCCUAACACAUGCAAGUCGAACGGCAGCACAGUAAGAGCUUGCUCUUACGGGUGGCGAGUGGCGGACGGGUGAGGAAUACAUCGGAAUCUACUUUUUCGUGGGGGAUAACGUAGGGAAACUUACGCUAAUACCGCAUACGACCUACGGGUGAAAGCAGGGGAUCUUCGGACCUUGCGCGAUUGAAUGAGCGAUGUCGGAUUAGCUAGUUGGCGGGGUAAAGGCCCACCAAGGCGACGAUCCGUAGCUGGUCUGAGAGGAUGAUCAGCCACACUGGAACUGAGACACGGUCCAGACUCCUACGGGAGGCAGCAGUGGGGAAUAUUGGACAAUGGGCGCAAGCCUGAUCCAGCCAUACCGCGUGGGUGAAGAAGGCCUUCGGGUUGUAAAGCCCUUUUGUUGGGAAAGAAAAGCAGCAGGUUAAUACCCCGCUGUUCUGACGGUACCCAAAGAAUAAGCACCGGCUAACUUCGUG
rnacentral:rRNA from 1 species